UAGCAGCAGACCAGCACAUGCGGGGUGAGCUGGCUGGCUGGCUGGCUGCCUUGGCAGCAAGCAAAAAGCGCACGGCCAGAAGCAGUUGCUUGUCCUGCCUGGGGCACCCCUAAAAUGCAUCACAGUCGGUCCCUGUGAAAAGGGGCAGGUUGGGAAGCCAGCCGUUGCAGCCGCCUCCUUCCCUCUCAGGCAGCCGAACGCACGGCAACCGAGAAUGGCUCUCCCGGCUGCAGAUUUGGCGCUGGGGCAAACUCUGGCGAAAGGAGAACCGUGAAGGCUCGGGAAGAACUCCUGUCCAGUUGCUUGGAGGCCCCACUCACCUCCCUGCAGAGCUCGGAACCCUCCUGCCACGAUGUUUUGUGGCACAGCACUGUAGCCACGAAGCGGCGUCUUUGCUCAGCCUGCAGACACGCGUGUGAACGCCAGCACGGCCUGUUAGGCGCAGCUCCAUUUUGGGAUUCUGUUCCAAAUCCUGGAUGCACCAUCGUAACAGGACCAUCCAGGGAUGGCGAUCGUCCGGACUCAUCCCUUCAGCCCCUUCGCACACCGAAGGUGGCGUGGCACUGGUGCGUCCGUGCGCCACCGUUCCAGACGUGCACACGCGUGGACACAGCCUCGGGCGAAGGACCCUUUGAAACGGAGCAGUGGCAGAUGGUUUCUCCUGGAUGUGUGCAGUAUCCCUGGCCAGGGCUAUUGCUCUCCAUUUCCAGCCACGUAUGACUGUUAAUAUAUUUCAGCAGCAAUUAGAAGGUGUUGAUGGAAGGCUUCAGAGCACCACGGCAAGAGGAGUGUGGGAAACCAGCCGCCCCUUUAGGCUCCAGCUCUUUUUUUUUUUUUUUUGAAAGACAAAGUCAAUCUGUCCAUUUCAGCACAGACC